CUUUUAUAUAACCCUAUUUUCCCCAUCAGCCACCCUCCUCCCUCCCUUAUCAGCCACUUGCACCUCGCCCCGCCGCUCGCCGUUCCUGCUCGACACCAUCUCAUCGACUGUCGCUGCACGCUGCAUGGUUUAAAUUUUGUUUUGAGUUGAGAGAUAAGCUGGUUUAAAUAUUUCCGUUGCCGGUUGAAAGAUAAGUUGCAAAACUCUAUUUUCUAGGGUCGUUGUCUUUGGCAUGUGCUAUUAUUAGGUCAAAAAGAUAUGGUGUAAGUAACUUGUACCAGGAUAGACUUUACUAGGCGUUGAUUUAAGUAAUUCAAUUUUGUUGUUGUCUGAUGCAUCUCUUUAUUUUAUUUUUCUUAGGGAGUUUAUAGACCUUAUAGUAUCACCAACUUCGAAGGUCUUAAAUGAGUGGUUCGAGUCAGACAUAUUAAAGGCAACACUUGCAGGAGAUGCCAUCAUUGGGACUAUGGCUUUGGUUGGUAGAUGAUGAAACAAGUAGAAUGCUCGCACAAAUUUUCGAAAUCAAUGGAGGACCGAAUAACUAAUUGCAUUUGGUUUCAAGAGGCAAAAUAUCAGAUGUGGGGUACGAAGUAAGAGGUAUCUUGACUCUCUGUAGGUAUGCUGUUUCUGAGUUCAUCUGUUUGCAAAGCAAGUCAAACAGAGUGGAUGAGGGGACAUUUCUCUAGGUUAUCGAGGAUGGCGUGCAGUUUUUAUCAAAUAUUCUUACACAGUGGAUAAGCAUUCCAUUUCGAGUGCCCAAGUGCUUGUCUUGUGUAAGGCCUUGCAUUGGGUCUCAACUAUUUGCCACUACCGAUGCUCGUAAACUGGAUGAAAUAUCUAUUCCAUUCGGCUUCCAUCUAUCGUUAAAUCUUUGUCUUCAACUCAAAAACAUUGCAUCAAACAUGUCAGUUCAAAUCACCAAGAUGUAAUGCAUUUUUUAUUGUGAUUUGUCCUUCCAGGAACUCAAGCACAAUGGUAAGAACAUUAAAAAACAUCAGGUUUUCCAAUUACUUAUUUACUGCAGAGUUUUCUUGAUCUUUGUUGCUUUUCGAGUGUUCAUAGAAAUGUUGGAAGCUGGAGCUUAUCCUAUAAACUAUACGCUCGGAAUCGUGUGUAAUGCUUGUUGUUCCUUGCAAUCUAUCGAAUUCGGGAAGCAGGUUCAUGCAUAUAUCAUCAAAUAUCAUAUAGAUUCACUGAUUUAAAUAGUUAGUAUCUACUAGCGUUCUUUAACAUCCGAUUUAAAUAGUUAGUAUCUAGCUCUGUAACAGAAUCGGUAUUUCUAUUACAUUAGUAACAUCUGAUUUAAAUAGUUAGUAUCUAGCUCUGUAAGCAUCAUUCUAGUAUUCAAUUUAAAUUAUUUGAUCAUUCAAUAAGUAUCACUACAAGAAUUUUUCCUUGAAUGUACCAUUUAUGCACAUUCCCAAUAAACACGGUUAGUUGAAUAUGAAUUUUGAUAACAUUUUCACUUUCAAUCCUUUGUAUUAAACCUUUUUUGUUUGUGUAUUUUUUAGGUGUUUAGAAGGGGUGGAGAGGAGAUGGAUUUCUUGCAACAGCAAGGGAUUGUGAAAAUUAUUCCUGAUGCAACAAAGGAGUAAAUAUUUGAUAACCUCUUUAUGCUUUUUCUUGGGGAACUUUAG